rnacentral:lncRNA from 1 species
CUGGGACUUGAGAUUCCAGGUACCAGGAUGAUCUUCAGAUUCUCGUUACCUCACUGCUAGUCGUAGCAAUACAAACAAACAUGGUAUAGACAAAAUUAACAUCACACCAAACAUAAGUACAACUGAAUAAUAAUGAUCUACACGAAGCUACAAGAACGUGGGAUCGAGAACCACUAAAUUCGGAGUUAUGGUCACCGAGUUAUGAUUUUAUGCAGUUAUUAAGUACCUAGAAUAGAGUCAUUCGUGUAAAUAAUUUUAAAUCAAGUUUCAUGGUUAGAUAAAGGUACUAGGUGAUAAACAAUACUUUAAACAAAAUUAAUGCCACUGGAAUGAAUCAAUUUGGAGUUAUAUAUUUUAAGUUAUGAAUUCUUAAAGGUUUUAUGUGUUUUAUGCAAGAUUAAAUAGGAUAUAAAUUUUAAUAGGUCUUUCAUGUGAAAUCAGUGGUACUAGAUGAUAAACCAUAAUAUUACAAAAUUAUAGGAACUGGAAUGGACUAAAAAGAAUUUAAUAUGCAUUUUCUAUGAUUUAUACAAGUUUCUAACAUUAUUUUCGUAUUAAAAAUGAAUUUAGAAAGAAUUUCUCUGAUUUUAUUGAUUCCUGGACUGGGCGUCAAAUACAGGGAAGUUCAGGGGUCUCAGCGAAACGAUCCUGAGACACAGUGCACAGUUAACAAGGACGGCGGGUUGAUUUAGGACUUUUCAAGGGUCUAUUACGAAAAACAGACAAACCCGUAUGACAAUGAUCGCCUAGGGACGUUGGAUCGGUAGCCAACGACCCAGAUCAACCCGGGACGCCAGCGAACCUGUAAGCGCUAUUAUCCGUUGGAUUAAAAUCCGAUGGCCAAGAUCCUAUAAACCCUGAUCUAACCAACACCGCAUGAUCUGAGAUCUAUGGCUCCCGCUGCCCGAUAUCUCGCUCCCAAUCCACAUCGUUGAUUAGCCGAUCGAUGGUCACUGGCCCAUCCGCACCCCAGACCAGAGACGGCGACUACACAAGGUACCAGGCAGCGGCGAGCACGCGGUGGAGCCAUCGCCGACCGUUUCUAACCAUGAUUUCGAGCGCGGUGCUUCAGUCUGAAGGGCGAUACUCGAACCGGAAUCAAGAAUUAUGCUAGCAGCGGAAUUCUUACCGAAAAUCAUGUGCGCAGAAUCUCCGUCCACGAUGCUCUGUGAUUUGGCGGCAAUGUCGAUCGUCGGUGAAGAAUUCCCCACCAGACCACGACGUUCCCCGCCAAAUUGAGGGUUGUCAUGUCUUUCUAGCGCGCUCGUGAAGCUCCCUAACCAACUCCCGGUCACUAUGUGGCGUCACAGGCAUCAGACGGCGACGGCGGAUUUCCCCUUCCUUCCGCCCCCCUCUGAAGCACCAAUUCUCUUCCCUGGCAAUGGCGCUCUGCUAGUUGGCGGGGUUGUAG